CCCACCAUGGUCCAGUUGGUAAUCCACUCGCUUCAAAACCAUCCCCACAAUUCCGAAGCGAGCCGGUGGAGGUUCGAAUCCUCCAGGUGGUA